rnacentral:rRNA from 1 species
UACGUAGGGUGCAAGCGUUGUCCGGAAUUAUUGGGCGUAAAGAGCUCGUAGGCGGUUCGGCAAGUCGGAUGUGAAAUCUCCACGCUUAACGUGGAGGGGCCAUUCGAAACUGCUGUGACUCGAGUCCGGUAGGGGAGUGUGGAAUUCCCAGUGUAGAGGUGAAAUUCGUAGAUAUUGGGAAGAACACCGGUGGCGAAGGCGGCUCACUGGCCCGUAACUGACGCUCAUGCACGACAGCGUGGGGAUCAAACAGG